rnacentral:rRNA from 1 species
UGUAUAGCAACUGCUAGUUGCACUAAGAGCUUUAGUGUGAAAUCAACUUAGUUGAAUAAAAUUCUGGGUAGAAUUAUGAUAAUGACAUUAUCUGUCCAUAAGUCUUGACCAAAUUACGUGCCAGCAGUCGCGGUAAUACGUAGAAGACAAGUGUUAUUCAUCUUUAAUAGGUUUAAAGGGUACUUAGACGGUAAAUCAAGCCUUAAAAAGGGACUAAUUUGCUAGAGUUUUAUGUGAAAAAGUAUUAAAGUACUGCUGGUGUAGAGAUGAAAUUCUGUAAUACCUUGAAUGGCACAGGUUAAGGCGAAAGCAUCUUUUUAUGUAAAAACUGACGUUGAAGGACGAAGGCUUUGUGUCUCGAACAGGAUUAGAUACCCUAGUAGUCUAAGCAGACAAUGAUGAAUGUCAUAGAUUAGAUGUAAUUUGAUCUAUAAAUGAAAGUGUAAGCAUUCCACCUCAAGAGUAAUUUGGCAACAUUGGAACUGAAAUCAUUAGACCGUUUCUGAAACCAGUAGUGAAGUAUGUUGUUUAAUUUGAUAAUCCGCAAAAAACCUUACCACAAUUUGAAUAGAUAUAAUUUAUCAUACAAGCGUUGCACGGCUGUCUUCAGUUAAUGUCGUGAGACUUUGGUUAGUUCCAUAAAAUUAACGUAAACCCUUGCUUUAUUUACAUAUAAAGUAGUUCACCGCUAUAUUGGAUGUGAUAACAGGGAUCAAGACAAGUCAUCAUGACCUAAAUAUUGUGGGCUAUAGACGUGCCACAUAUGCCUUACAAAGAGAUGCUAAAUUGGAAAUUAAGCUAAUCUCNUAAAAU